rnacentral:misc_RNA from 1 species
AAGUCGUAACAAGGUUUCCGUAGGUGAACCUGCGGAAGGAUCAUUAACACGUAUCCAACGUUAAACAACCCUGUGAACUUUAAGUCCCCUCUUGCAGCCCAUGAGGAACAGCAAUCCCGGUAAAUCAUUGCCAAACAGUUUUGAUUCGGGACCUCUGUCCAAAAGGAGUUGCAAUCGAAGGGUGGAAGCAGUGGCAUGGCUUCCCCAAGCAGUUAGUGAAUGACAGUGUCACUGACUGUGUAAGGAUAACAGAGGUCGAUCACCGAUGUCACAGGGUCACCACGCCCCUUAAUCACUCUACUUGAAAAUGCCCCGCCCUAGUGGUAACGCGCUAGGUAAAAAAAACCGAACAACUGUUAACAAUGGAUAUCUUGGUUCUC